rnacentral:rRNA from 1 species
CCUACGGGAGGCUGCAGUGGGGAAUAUUGGACAAUGGGGGCAACCCUGAUCCAGCCAUGCCGCGUGUGUGAAGAAGGCCCUCGGGUUGUAAAGCACUUUCAGUGAGGAAGAACGCCUGGUGGUUAAUACCCAUCAGGAAAGACAUCACUCACAGAAGAAGCACCGGCUAACUCCGUGCCAGCAGCCGCGGUAAUACGGAGGGUGCGAGCGUUAAUCGGAAUUACUGGGCGUAAAGCGCGCGUAGGUGGCUUGAUAAGCCGGUCGUGAAAGCCCCGGGCUCAACCUGGGAACGGCAUCCGGAACUGUCAAGCUAGAGUGCAGGAGAGGAAGGUAGAAUUCCCGGUGUAGCGGUGAAAUGCGUAGAGAUCGGGAGGAAUACCAGUGGCGAAGGCGGCCUUCUGGACUGACACUGACACUGAGGUGCGAAAGCGUGGGUAGCAAACAGGAUUAGAUACCCCAGUAGUC